UUGCUUCAGCAGCACAUAUACUAAAAUUGGAACAAUACGGAGAAGAUUAGCAUGGCCCCUGCUCAAGGAUGACACGCAAAUUCAUGAAGCGUUCCAUAUUAAA
ensembl:snRNA U6 U6 spliceosomal RNA